rnacentral:rRNA from 1 species
GACGAACGCUGGCGGCGUGCUUAACACAUGCAAGUCGAACGGAAAGGCCCUGCUUUUGUGGGGUGCUCGAGUCGCGAACGGGUGAGUAACACGUGAGUAACCUGCCCUUGACUUUGGGAUAACUUCAGGAAACUGGGGCUAAUACCGGAUAGGAGCUCCUGCUGCAUGGUGGGGUUUGGAAACUUUCGGCGGUUGGGGAUGGACUCGCGGCUUAUCAGCUUGUUGGUGGGGUAGUGGCUUACCAAGGCUUUGACGGGUAGCCGGCCUGAGAGGGUGACCGGCCACAUUGGGACUGAGAUACGGCCCAGAAUCCUACGGGAGGCAGCAGUGGGGAAUAUUGCACAAUGGGCGGAAGCCUGAUGCAGCAACGCCGCGUGCGGGAUGACGGCCUUCGGGUUGUAAACCGCUUUCGCAUGUGACGAAGCGGGAGUGACGGUAAUGGGUAAAGAAGCACCGGCUAACUACGUG